GCAGCGGCGGCGGGGCGGUCGCGGGGCGUGUGGGGGAAGAGAACGCGUAACGGUCCCGGACAGGCGGCGGAGUGCGGACGCACCGCUAGGCGGAGGAGGGAGGCAGGCAGCGAGGCGAGGGAGGCACCAGUGCUCGGCCGGAACCUUGUUGCCAGGGGAGACCGGCGCUUUACGGCAGGACGUUUUGAAUGGCGGCGGGGGAAAAGUUGCGGCCGCAGGUCUAAUCAAGAGGCAGACAGCUGGACGGGAGUGAUGCUGUGCUCUCACUCUAAGCGAAAUCUGACAUUCUGGGGCUUUCCUUAAUCGUACUUUCUGCUUUUAUGAAGAGAAGAGGUACAAAAUUCUAUGCUCUAAAAAAUAAAGAGGGAAGAGUGUAUUUUUUCACAGUUAACUAACAACUGCGUUUGGGCUUCUGUACUAAAAAUUGAAACAUUACCUUUAAACACUCAUACUAUUUGAGUUUCAUUUCAGGCAAUAAAAUAAUUUGGUAUGUUUCCAUUUGUUCCUAGGCUUUCUUAUUUCUUCCCCUUUUUUUUUUAUAUAUAUAUUUUUUUCCUUGUGAUGAUUCUGUAAGAUUUAUAGUUCUGUGCUGCUGGAGAAUCCUUUUACCCAAUCAAAUUUCAGUUUGUUUUAACAGAACAGUGUUUAACAGAAAGUGUUUCUGUUAAUGGGAUACUUUAUUAAGUAAUUGAAUUUGACUAUAUUUCAGCUAUUCUACAUUGUCUCCACUUGCUAUAUGUUCACACACUGUAACACAACACCUCAUCUCAUGGAAGCAGCAUAACAUAUCUCUAGAAAAUGAACUGCUGAACACUGACAGUUUGUAGAAGUACCUGACAGCUGAAACUUCCCCAGAAGUCAGUAAAAGCAGAAACGCUUAGGAAGGAGGUAUAGGGCUAGGCAUAAGCUGGGAGUACUGAACCCCAAAUGCAAGGGUAGCUAAGAACCACAACAUGAAACCAACUACAAGAUAAAAAAGAAAUGUCAGCGAAAUUUCAGUGGGUGAAUCGCAAAGUUUUAAGGCAGAAUGCCAGUUUUGUCCUGCUUUAAUAGUUCAGCAUCCUUGCCUGUCAAGAUUUUGUACAGAAGAUACCCGUGGUUGUGAAACUGCUUGCAAACAAGGGCUUAAGGUGUUCUGGAAUUAUGGGAUGUUUUUAUCAUUUGGUGGAUUAAUUUAAUCUAAAUAUCAUGUACAGGUCUUCAUGCUAAGUUUUUACUUCCUUAAAAUUUGACAUGUUUUAGAAGGUAGUUGCAAAAAAUCUAUAUAAAUAUUUUUGUAGAUUUGUGACAAUAUUCCCCUGCAUGCCCACACAGAAUUGCAGGCCUCUCUUUAGGUGACUUUCAGGUAGCUUGUUUUCAUUGAGUUUUGUCACUUCUCACCUCUGGAUAAGAAGUCUUGUCUCUUCUUUGUGAACAAUUUAUAUUUUCUUAACAGAAUGAGGAGAGAAACAGUCUCCUGGUGUUUUUCAAAUGGCCACAGUGUCUCUUUGAGCAUUAGUCUCUUGAGAUUUCCAAGCAGCUAGGAGAAACUGGUGACAACACUUGCUGCCUAUUAGUUUUGAAGAGCAGAACUGAAACUGGCAGGAGCAUUGCUAGCUCUACACUGUUAUAGUUUUGAUAAAUGAGAAGAGAAAACCAAAGCAAUCUUUGUAUAUGUUAUCUUUGAUAACAUGGAGGUCCAGAAACUAAAAAAGCAGAGGAUAGUGUUUUGCAUGAGGUUACUGAUUACCCUAAUCACUAUUCAUUGUGGAAAGCAUUUCAUUCACAACUUAAUAGGUACGUGGAUGGGUCAUUUUGGGGUGGGUUCGUUUUUAACCUUUGAUAUAUUUAAUCUAAGCAACUGGGCACUUCACAUCUUUGUAUACAAAGUUCCCAUUAUUUCCUGUGCUAAAAAGCAUCACAAGAGAGCAGCCACUGUCAAAGUGUUUUGACCCAAUACAUUCUUCUAAUCCUGGAUGCAAACCCAGUAGUUAAAAUUCCUGCUGUCUUUGUAGUGUUCUGCACUAUAUAAACGUAUUGUAUAUGUAACUUAAACUGGUUUGUGCUGCAAGAAUGAAAAUCCUGUUUUUCUUCAUGGUGUACAGCUUUCAAUCUGACUUUUCAGUCAAGAAUGCAGAAAUUGGGUAAUGUACUGAUUUGCAGAAUCUCAGAAAAGCAGUAUAUUUUCUGCAUCCUUCUCAAUGUGGCAGGCUUACUGCUGUACUUCACCUUUUUGAAAUUUAUUUCCAUUGUCUGAAGACAGGAAUUAAAAUACUUCAGUAGUCACAGUGGAGUAUGGAUGCUUGAAAACCAGGUAAUGGUUAUUAUAGACAGUUUUUGCCAUUUUAAUAAGUCAUGUAUGUUGUGUUAUGGUUUAUGAUCUCUUGAGAAUGUAUUAUUAAAUAAAAGCAAUCAGCCCUCU